GGCACGGCCCCGCCGCCGCCGCUCCCCCGCCUCCCCCGGCCGCCGCUGCUCUCCGGCAGCCGCCCGCCUGUGGAGGCUGUCCUCUCGCCGCCGCCGCACGUACAAACUUUUUUUUUUUUUUUUUUCUUCCUCCCCCCUUUUUUUCUCCCACCCCCGCGCCGCCCCGGUAGGCUGCGGGCUGCGCGCUUGCCUCCCCGCCGGGCGCAGCGGCCGGGGUGAUGCGGAGCAGGAAGUGGCCGCCGCGGGAGUCGCGCGGUUCCACGUGGCCGCCCCGCACCGGGGCGGGAGAGCCUCGCCCCGGGCCGCCGCUCGCUCCUGCCCCCGCCCCGGCUCAGCGCCGGGCGUGCGCUCCCGUGCACCUGCGCCCGCCCGGACCGCGGCUGCGGCCAGCCGCGCCUGCAGCCCUCCGGGAAAGGAGGGAGCAGUGGGACACCUCGAGUGGGGUUUCGGUUUUCCAGAUUGGAUCAAGGUAUGAGAAAUUGACAAAUGAUGCAGUGUUUAAGGCAUGAGCAACAUCUCUAAUCCUCGUAAGUGUUUGCACAGCCCUGUGACUUCCACAGGAGCACAGAGCUGUUUUCCUCAAAGCCCCCUCCCUGUGUGCAGCUGCAGCAACCACACAAACAUCCCAACGUAAAGAUUUAAGUGACUGUUUUCAGGUUUUUUUUCAGAUGGAGGUGUAUGUUCUGCACAAAGCCAGAGGCAAAGGUGAACCACACAUUCGUGAUUUCACAGAGAGCUACACCCUUGGAGGAUGAUCAAGAGAUUUAUCAUUUUGGUUUUAGACAGCCGAAGUCUCGCUGUCAGUGAACUCCCCCAUUAGCUAUCUGACGACAAUUGAAAAUUCGGCUUCACGAAUUUUAAACCCCCCAGCGUUUGCUUUAUCCCGAAAGAGAAGUAGCUGAUGCCCACUGGGAGGCAGUACGGGCCAAUGGACAGGGUGUUCAUGCCAGCCAGCCCCUCUCUCUGCCGCAGCCACCAAUGAUAGCAGAUUGGAGAAGGCGUCAUGUUUCCGUUUGACCAUUGUACCUGCCCUGAUUCCUCAACAGCGAGCAUCAUCUACCUUUUUUCUUCUCACGCACAGGCCAGCAGUCUGACUCCAAGAGUAUUAGAUUAAUACUGACCUUGGAAGUGUUUUAUUUCAGUUGUAUCCUUGUUAAGGAUGUGCUGAAGUUUCAAAUUCUGCACUUACAGCUCCUCCUAUGUAGUAAAGUGCCUAAGAAAACCUAUAGAACAUAUUUUCACUGUUGUUGAAUUUGUAUCAGCUAAGAUAGAAAAUUCAAAUUAAAUUUGGCUUUGGAUUGCCUCCAGUACUAUUCAAAACCACUUUUCAAAGUCUUUUACAACCUGGAGAGAAAAAGAUGGAGGGUUAAACACUGGCUUUAGUCCCACUCAGUUACAAAAUGUAAGUAAAUAUAAAUUUAUAUAUAUAACUAUAAGUAUAUAUUAAAGUAAAAGAAGUACAUAAUAUAUAAAUAUGAACCAUUAUGCUUUCACUAUACAGGCAGUAUUAAAACAAACCACUAAUCUGUUAUUAGGGAAUUAAUCAAUCUCUGUUAGACUGAUAUUUAGUCAUUCAAAUGUUUCAAACGGGCUGGCAACUGUCACAAUGUUUGUAUCUGUAUGUGGACACCUACUGCUUGUCACAUAGAAAUCAUAUGUUCACUUCUCAUGUAUGACUCCAAAUAAAUAUGCAAUGGCAUUUAAGUCAUUAUAAAGCCUUGCUGCUCUUGAACCAGAGACCUAGGAUGACCUGGAGGUGAGGUAUCCGAUUACCAAUCCCCUAAGCCAUGCAGUUGCCUUAUUGCUGGGGAUUUGGGGGAUGGUGUCUGCAGCAGGGUCACUAACCAAUGUCAAAACCUCAUGCAGUUGCUCGCAUAGGAGAAGUAUCUGGAUGUGGAUCUACCCCAUAACUCUGUCCUGAAUAUCUGGCCACAAAAAACUACUCUGCUUGUUCAGAACACACUGUCUGAAAGCAAAUUCCUACAGACUUUUGUGCCUCUCAAGGUGAAAAUCAUGUGUUACAAAGUUCCAUAAUACAACAAGCUGCUGUAAAGGCUUCAUUCUACAUAAAGUCUCACAUUUUGCUCAUUUGAGUUUUCUUCUAUCAACACAUAGACAAUUUUUGUAAAAUCUGCAGUUCAGAGGCCAAAUUUCUUUCUGCUUAGUGCAGAGAGCACAAAACACAACUGGGUUUUUUUUUGUCAUGUAAAUAGGUUUGAAAUUAAAUAUUUGAAAUUAGCAGUGGUAUGCUGGUUUUGGCUGGGGUAGAGUUUAAUCUUCAGAGUGGCUGGUAUGGGGCUACAUUUUGGUUUUGUGCUGGAAAGGAUAACACCAGGAUGUUUUGGUUAUUGCUGCGCAGGCCUUGCCCAGGAUCAAGGCCUUAUGUGCUCCUCACCCCAUCCCACCAGACAGGAGGCUGGAGGUACACAAGGAAUUGGGAGAGGACACAGCUGGGACAGCUGUCCCCCACUGAUCAAAGAGAUAUUCCAGACCAUAUGGCACCAUGCUCAGUAUAUAAAGUGGGGGAAGAAGGAGGAAGGGAUGGGGACAUUUGGAGUGAUGUUGUUUGUCUUCCCAAGUCACCAUUAGGCAUGAUGAAGCCCAGAUUUCUUGGAGAUGGCUGAACAUUCACCUGCCUAUGGGAAGGGUGCUUUAGGACAAAGAAGAAAAGAUAGGAAAACUUCAUAUUCAAUAAAGUAUGGUGAUUUACAGCAGGACUUUUGUAGACUGUUGGCUAACUGCUUGAAAAACCUGGAUGACUUCUUACUAACCUCCAAGAUACAGAAGUGAACAUGUCUUCAGAACAUUUUAGAUUUAAAUAAGCGGACUUAUAAUAUGAGUGAAAAUGAGUGUAACAAUUUGCCUCUCUUUCAGGUUUAUAUCCAAACAGCCUCUCCAACUUGGCUUGCUAAGUCUUUGGUGUCAGGGCUGAUUAGAAGAAAGCAGGAGAUAGAGGCACUGUUCCUCCCAACAUUUAGGUCAGCUCUGAUACUCUCUCCUGUGUAUCUAGGCCAUGUCUAAUUAAUCCCAGAAUAUUCCAUCACUGCUGGAUUACCUCUGUCAGCUUCUCCCUCAGAAACCUGGCAGCAAAGAUUUUACCUUAGGUGAAGAUUUUCCCUUUUCUAAAGGCAAAUGGGAGUGGUUUUUUUCAUUGUAUAACUACAUAAUGUUUAUGCAACAAUUUACAGAGCCCUUAGGAUGUGAAGUAGUAGAGGCGAAUAGCUUCACUUGAAAUUACUGGAAUGUUGCCAGAUUUAAACAGAGCCAAGAUUUCACCCCCAGUUGUUUUAAGGAUGAAAUUUACCAGCCUUCUCAUCUCCAAGUCCGAAUCUGCUACUCAAAAGAAUCAUAAACUUUUUCCUUCCUCCAAGCCAAAUGUGAAUACAAAGUGCUUAAUCAAAUUAAGAUCAGAAAAGACAAAAGAUCUAAAAACACAAUAAAAAUUCCACCUAAAAGCCUCCUGGACAUCAGCAAAAGUUAAGGAACUAAAUUGUAUUUUUGAACUAUAAGCUGCAGCCUGCAGUCUGCCAUGGUCAUUACCAGAAUUACAUAAACAGUUUGCAAAGACACAUAACAGCUCUGGGAGGUGUUUAAAUCAAGACAAGCCAACACUGUGGAGCAGUGGAUAUGCAACUGGAAAAAUAACCCAGAGCACUUACUGAACUAGGGACACACUGCACCCAUGUUUUGUGUAUCACCAUAGUGAAGCACAGAAUCACAGCACUAAAAACAGACUGUUAAUUAGCAAUGCAAAAUUUAUAUGCAAUUAUGCAAGGUGCUGGCUGUCUCAAGCAGUGCCACAUUUGUAUAAUGAGGGUGAAAUGUGUCGUGACUUUUGGAAUCAAUGCUCUGUAAACAUGCAUUCAUCUAUGCAAAGAGCCAGUGGAUUUUUUCUUAUACCUGAUGGUAAAGUACUACGUGACAAGACGACUUACUACUUGCAGAACAAGAAAUACCUGCUAUUGGAGAUGUAUUAAUAUGAACUUUAAAACACAGGCAAAGAACAGCAUAGGCAUUUCUGCAGUGGGUGGGGUAUGUUUUUAAACUCCACUCUCCACUGCUCAAAUUAUGUCCUUGCAAUCUCCUUCAGUUAAAAAUCAAAAGGAUUUUCACUGCAUUUUGUACAGGAUUGUUGUCAAGACCUUCAUUUAAAUGCUUCUACUGAUACCUUCAGGAUUAUGUAAUACUAAAAAUGUAAAUAAGAUGCAGAUUUGUCACAUACUCAUUUUUCUUUCCUAUGUAAGUUGAUUACUAAAGCAGGAAAUGCUAUUCAUAAAUGCUCAUUACUAACACACUAAAAAAUUCAUAUAGCAAAACUUCUUUAUUUCUUUAACGUCACUAGAAAAAUAGUCAAAUUAGUAUCAGUCAUGAGUUUUGCAUGAGUUAAGAUUUACCUGCCCUCCACAUGUGCAGUAGUGGGUCAUUGACAUACUUAGCACCUGUGUUUGUAAAGUCAUCUUAUGUCUUAUCUCACAUUAGAAGGAGGAAGGCAGAUUUUCUAGACACAGGUUGAGUGCACCUGCAGCAAAAGUACAACAGGUGUAUUGCAACCCAUAGCCAGUGCAGUGGAAUGGCCAAAUCCUGCUGUCUUGCAUUUAACAUCCUAGCCUGAACACACAGAUAGGUAAAAAAAUAUUGUGACAUUUUGACAGGUAAAAAAUGCACACUGGCUAGUGAUAUGAUAUUAAAACCACUCCAGCUUAGUGUAAGCUCUCACAAUUCACGUUUCUCUUCCACCAAGGUCCCCUAUUACGACACUGGACUUCACCAGAGGAGAAGGACUCAUAGCUUUUUUUGUCAUGGCCCAAAUUUCUGACUGGAUCUAAGAGUCCUUUAAGCAUAUGUGACUCUGCCCUGAAUUUUGGUCAUGCAGCUCAAUACAGAGCAGAAGGAUGAACUAGAUUUCUGCUGGUGUUUUUAACUGUGAUAAGCUUCCUGAUGCUAUGCAUUAAGUAAGAUACCAAAAUAAGCUUGACGGUGUGGGACAGUUUGUCCUUUUGCUUUGGAGAUUUACCCCUUCUUGUGCUUCAUCACCCAGUUCAAACCCUGUAUACACUGUGCUUUAGUGGUGGUAGCAAGAUGAAGACACAAAAAUGCUCUCUAAUCUUCUAAUUUCCCAUCAGGUACAAUGCCCACUAGGCUACUAAAUUUUCACCAUCUUUUUUGUGACCAGCAUCUCAAACUCAUCAGCCUUAAGUAGCAGAGCAAAAGUUACAGUUGUUAGAGUUAUCUCUAGUCUUCAGGAUUGCAUCUUGAUGAGAGAGAAAGGUGUGCUAUUUGUGUGGAUUCUACAGGGUCUAAACUUGGAACGCUACUGCCCUGUAUGAAGCAGAAAAAUACGAAGUUGUUAUUCAAAAAGUGUAUCAGUCAUGUUGAUUUAAAAAUGCCCUACAUUCAAGAAUGUGGAUUUUAGACUCAGCUAGGCAUAAUUUUCCUUGUGACACCUACAGAAGUUAAUUAAACUUUGCAAUUGAGACAGAGAUGCACUAUUAGCUUAGACAAGAAUGAUAAAUAACUUGCACUUUCUGAGAGAAUGAGUACAUAUAGUACAUGUAAAAUGCAUGCUAUUAUUUUAAAGAGAGCUUUUAAGUUUUUAUGAGUGCCUGCAUGACUUGCAUUGUUGUUGAAAAAUUAAAACAGUUCAUUGUAUGCCUUGAAUGCUAGAAAUUGCUUCAUAUCAUAAUAGCAUCCUCUCUGACCAUUCAAAGCACCUAGUUCUUCCUUUUACUCCUCAAAAAAAAAAAAAAAAAAAAAAAAAGAAAGAUUGGUUUAUAUAUUAUGAAUUUCUCAUUAGGCUCCUGAUAGCAGGAUUAGAGUUUCCUGGUCAAUUAUCUGGGUACAGUUAAAUGAUUCUCUCCAUUCAACUAUCCACAAUAAUUGCCAGUAGGAAGACAAGUGUUUCGCCAUGCACCACGAUGCAUGGAAAGGACCAGCAAUAGCAUCAGCAUUUACACCUGUUACACAGACUAAGAUAAAGCCAGAUCUUUCUAAAGCUGCUGUCACAGCCUUCUCCCUGCUAUAUGCAGGUGUAGGAGGAGCUUCUCACAGUGACCAAACAAGUCUCCAGCACUUUGGGUGAUAACAAUCCAUUGCUGAUGAAACCUGAGACCUGGUAUAAAAUGCAAACAACAGGCAGAAUCACUCAGCAAAUGGAUGUCACGGUUCAAGAACUUUUGACAGUCAAAGCCCUCAACAAAUACCUGCACCCUGCCUAAGUUUGUGACUUUGAUGUCCCUCAGCUCUGCGUAACAGCACAUGCCUUCAUUACAACAAUCCUUGUAUUGCGCACCAAAACCUGAGCUCUAAAGAAGCGGCAGAAAUCAAGUUAACAAAUCUUCACGUAGUUGUCUGAACACACCCAACUUUCCACCAAGUCUAAGCUCAGGGGUUCUGGGGAUGAGCAUCCUGAUAAGCUUUGAACCAAGCUUAAAAAAAAAAAAAAAAAAAAGGAUCCAGGUUCUCUUUUCUUCUGACAUAAUAAAGGCCUGGUGUCCAUUGUUGGUUACCUCAGAUGUCAAGCACUGUCCUGUCCAACUUCUAAAAUAAAGAACAUCAUUAUGUAAAUUGA